rnacentral:lncRNA from 11 species
UGUGCUUUGCCAUGGAACUGAGUAGACUCCGGAAAACUUGAACUUGAAAGAAAGGAGGCAGCAGAGGCAGCAAGGAAGCGAGAACGAAUUCCUGGGGAUACCAGGAUGUCUUGUCUCCGAUUGGCUGACCACCAUUGAACGGCUGAUGGAGGACGGAGCAAGUCUUUCCUUCUGCCUUGAUGGACCUGCACUAACAGCAUCCCAAUUGCAGGUACAUGUGACAAUGUGGAAGCUAUGAGUAGAAUUUUAAUGAGGAAGUUUGAAGAAGUUGGCAGCUCCUCUCUCUUCUCCGUGUGGGAAUCGGAUGAUGAAGUUUCAAGCGGCAAAAGCGCUGACGAUGGUGAUAGCGUCAAUCUGUCCACUCCAGACCUUUUUCUUCGUACAUGUGACAGCACUGCAGCUAUGAGCGGAAUUUUAAAGAGGAAGUUUGAAGAAGUUGACGGCUCUUCGCCCUGCUCUUCUGUGCGGGAAUCAGACGAUGAUGUUUCCAGCAGUGAAAGUGCUGACAGUGGUGAUAGUGUCAACCCAUCGACUUCAAAUCAUUUUACCCGUAAGUUUUACCAUCACAGAGUGGGAUACAGUAGAGAUUUAUCAACUAUUGUACUUUGUGUUGGGUUCU